rnacentral:rRNA from 1 species
AUUGAACGCUGGCGGCAGGCCUAACACAUGCAAGUCGAGCGGAUGAAGGGAGCUUGCUCCUGGAUUCAGCGGCGGACGGGUGAGUAAUGCCUAGGAAUCUGCCUGGUAGUGGGGGAUAACGUCCGGAAACGGGCGCUAAUACCGCAUACGUCCUGAGGGAGAAAGUGGGGGAUCUUCGGACCUCACGCUAUCAGAUGAGCCUAGGUCGGAUUAGCUAGUUGGUGGGGUAAAGGCCUACCAAGGCGACGAUCCGUAACUGGUCUGAGAGGAUGAUCAGUCACACUGGAACUGAGACACGGUCCAGACUCCUACGGGAGGCAGCAGUGGGGAAUAUUGGACAAAGGGCGAAAGCCUGAUCCAGCCAUGCCGCGUGCGUGAAGAAGGUCUUCGGAUUGUAAAGCACUUUAAGUUGGGAGGAAGGGCAGUAAGUUAAUACCUUGCUGUUUUGACGUUACCAACAGAAUAGGCACCGGCUAACUUCGUG